rnacentral:lncRNA from 1 species
GAUGGGGGUGGGUUGUUACAGGCAGCAGUCGUCACAGACGGAGAGGUAGUUGGUCAUGUUGGAAGCAUUGAAGACGACGUUGUUUAAGCAUUGGACGAUGCUGCAGAAGGAGAAGUUGGAGAAGGAGACGAAGCUCGAGUUGGAGAAGGAGACGAAGCUCGACUGAAUCACAUGCAUUGGAGUCCAUGUAGGUAUAAAAAGAUGACCACCCCUAACGGUUUUCUUGUGAUGCAGGUGUUAAUUGGUUGGAGGUAUUGGCAGCGGGGUACAUCAAGGUGCAUGCAGGUGGAGGAGAAUUCGGAAGGUGGUGGAUCAAUUGU